CAGAGGGUGCGAGCGUUAAUCGGAAUUACUGGGCGUAAAGCGUGCGUAGACGGUUAUUUAAGUCGGGUGUGAAAGCCCCGGGCUCAACCUGGGAAUUGCAUUCGAGACUGAAUAGCUAGGGUACGGUAGAGGGAAGUGGAAUUUCCGGUGUAGCGGUGAAAUGCGUAGAUAUCGGAAGGAACAUCAGUGGCGAAAGCGACUUCCUGGACCAGUACCGACGUUCAGGCACGAAAGCGUGGGGAGCAAACAGGAUUAGAUACCCUGGUAGUCCACGCCAUAAACGAUGAGGACUAGACGUUGGAGGGGUAAGCCUUUCAGUGUCGUAGCUAACGCGCUAAGUCCUCCGCCUGGGGGAGUACGGCCGCAAGGUUG
rnacentral:rRNA from 1 species